rnacentral:rRNA from 1 species
CCUACGGGGGGCAGCAGUGAGGAAUAUUGGUCAAUGGCCGCAGGGCUGAACCAGCCAAGUCGCGUGAGGGAUGACGGUCCUAUGGAUUGUAAACCUCUUUUGUCAGGGAGCAAAGGGCGCCACGUGUGGCGCUUUGCGAGUACCUGAAGAAAAAGCAUCGGCUAACUCCGUGCCAGCAGCCGCGGUAAUACGGAGGAUGCGAGCGUUAUCCGGAUUUAUUGGGUUUAAAGGGUGCGCAGGCGGAAUGUCAAGUCAGCGGUAAAAUUUCGGGGCUCAACCCCGUCGUGCCGUUGAGACUGGGGUUCUUGAGUGAGCGAGAGGUAUGCGGAAUGCGUGGUGUAGCGGUGAAAUGCAGAGAUAUCACGCAGAACUCCGAUUGCGAAGGCAGCAUACCGGCGCUCAACUGACGCUCAUGCACGAAAGCGUGGGUAUCGAACAGGAUUAGAUACCCGUGUAGUC